UACGAAGGGGGCUAGCGUUGUUCGGAAUACUGGCGUAAGCGCGCGCAGGCGGUUCUCCAAGUCAGUGGUGAAAGCCCGGAGCUCAACUCCGGAAUUGCCAUUGAAACUGUUGAACUUGAGGAUGAGAGAGGUGAGUGGAAUUCCCAGUGUAGAGGUGAAAUUCGUAGAUAUUGGGAAGAACACCGGUGGCGAAGGCGGCUCACUGGCUCAUUACUGACGCUCAGGCGCGAUAGCGUGGGGGAUCAAACAGG
rnacentral:rRNA from 1 species